rnacentral:lncRNA from 1 species
GAAGAAAUGAGAGAAGUGUGGGGAAACCCUAGGAAAAGAAAAAGAGAAGGAGUUGAAGGGAAGUGUGAGGCAUACAUUCUCUAUCUUUUGUUACUUGCAUAUUAGAAACUCCAAAACUCCCAAACAUGGAGGAAGAAACCCUAAAUGAGUGAAAAUGUAGAGGAUCACGAGCAUAAGAAACUGAAAACGAGUGAUUGACAAAAGCAACGAAAGAAGACGGACCAGAGUGAGACUACCAAUGAAGAAAGAACAAAGUCAAAAAUAUUAUGUCGAUUACAAAAUGACCUAUCAUAAUAUAUUUAUUUUAAAUUAAAAAUAAUAU